rnacentral:rRNA from 1 species
UACGGGGGGGGCAAGCGUUGUUCGGAAUUACUGGGCGUAAAGGGCUCGUAGGCGGCCAACUAAGUCAGACGUGAAAUCCCUCGGCUUAACCGGGGAACUGCAUCUGAUACUGGAUGGCUUGAGUUCGGGAGAGGGAUGCGGAAUUCCAGGUGUAGCGGUGAAAUGCGUAGAUAUCUGGAGGAACACCGGUGGCGAAGGCGGCAUCCUGGACCGACACUGACGCUGACAGCGCGAAAGCUAGGGGAGCGAACGGG